AUAAAAUAAAAUAGCAAAAAUAAAGGAAUUUGUCCUGAAAGCCUAUCUGAACCAGUCAGGAGCAGGUAUUGAAGUUCUCAUUAAGUGCGUGGUAGCCAGAUAAAGAGCUUUACAAGACAGUGGAUUCAUUUUAAUUGGAACAGGUCCCUGAGGAAAAAAGAAGUACAUCACUGAAGUUACUAUCUAGACCAAUAGUGGCUUUGAGUCUAGACUACUCAGUGAAGCAAUCAUUUUCUUAUUUCAUUAAUUCUUCUCAAAAAUAAACUUAGUCUGGAUUCUCUGGAAACAAAAACUAUAAAACUUGUGUAUUUAACGGGAAGCGAAUGUGUAUGUUAUGAGUUCAUUUGUCUGGAAGUCUGGAAAGUAUUACUGAAUGUGGUGAACAUUUAUCAAUUUCAGCAACAACAAAAAAGCAUACAAGAUCAGCAGUGAAUAAGACAAAAAUCUUUUAGGGAAGAGAUUAGACUUCAUCACCUUUUUAUGAUCAUUAACUUGCUACAAAUUGAGUUAAGUCUAGCAUAUAGUAGAUCUUCAUAUAUUCAUUGAAUGAAUGCAAGAUUUUGAAAAAUAAGUAAAGGGCAGUAUUAAUUAAGCUAUAUGUGUGGCAUUUGAUUAUUAUUUAUUCACAUGAAUCUGUUCCUUGGCUGUCAUCCCAUUUAUUCAGUCAUGACUUUUAUCAGGCCAUUAGUCAUGGAUUGAUCUCAUGUUUCAGAACUUAUAGCAUAUCUAGUAUGAUACAUUAGAAAGACACCUUCCAUUUAUAAUCAUGUGUUUAUGUCAGAAAUUUAUGACUGCCUUAUCGAAUAAUAAAAAAAAUUAUAAUUUUCCUUUUGUUUCAAUAUGUAAAUCCUUUUCCCUUGCUCCAAAUAGUAUAGAUUAUAAAUCUGGUAAGACAUGUGUAUACGUAAGUGGGGGAUGCGCUUGUUUUCUAGGUUGAAUUAGUUAAUGUAACCACCUAUAUUUAGAGAUUUUGGGGAGCUCCUAAAGAAGGAACAUUCUAAGCAAUCAUUUUCUUGUAAAUAAUUUUCCAGGAGGCAAAACAAGGUUUUGGCCUGUCCUGUACAUAAUAGAUAAAUUAUGUUUUGACUAGAAUUUUUUUUUUAUUCAUCAACUGGUUCUACUGCUGGAGUUAUGACUUUGUUAUCCAUGCACUGAAUGUUCUCAAUAUUCAAAAUAAAAUUUAAUGAGAUGCAACGUGUAAGUUUCUGGUUUGUAAGCUGUAGAGCAGUUAUUCUCAUUGUUUCUGACAGAACAGUCUUAUUGCUCAUGCCUUGUGUAUUCCCAUUUCACUCAUUCUUUUGAAUUUAUAUUCCUUUUAGUCUGUGUUCUUUUCUCCUGUCAAAGAAGCCAGGCAAAAUAAAAACAAGCAGUGACUAAUUUCAUUUUAAUAUUAUUCUUACAGCAAAAAGCAUGAGAAACAUUUAAAUGAGGAGGGAAAAAUUCAACCUUGAUUUGACAAAAUAGGAAAGUGAAUUUGAAAGUACAUGGGACUAUGAAAUCAGUAGUCAUAUUUUAUUGUUCUCAGGUUCUCAAAUCAUUUUAUUUCUCAGAACUAGGACUUAAAGAAAAACUUAUCAAAGCAAGUGGUAAGUUGUCUUGUUCUCUAGCCUGUUGACCUCAAGAAAAUUGUGAAUACAGAAUUCAGAUUGCAGAGAGUAUCCCAAAUAUUUGGAUUCCAUAAAUAUUAAGAUGCUUUCCAACCCCAAAUUCUGUGAUGCUACAGUGGAACCACUUGAAUUUGAUUUGAGGAAGGAGAUAUCUUUACGCCUUGUAUAUGAUGUAUUAAGUUGAUGGUAAGUAGUUGUUGUUUGACAAGGGACCAUGUUGACCAUGACUAUGUCUGGAGCUAUAUUUGAAAAACCAAGUUUGUGCUGGGAUUCCAAGUAUAUCUGUUUUGGAAUCAAGUUAAACAGUAGUGUGACUGUAGUUAUAUUAAUUUACAGUGAUUAUAGAUUUAUACCACAGAUUCUCCUUCUAAAACAUAGCCUGAGGAGGAAAAACACUUAGCUAAAAUUAAUAGCUUGGGAAAUUGUCUGUGGUUGUUGGCACUUAAGGGGUAAAAGAGGCAAGGUGGAAAAGAAGUCUCCUCGCAUUCCCCCACCUCCAUCACUUCUCACAUCCAAACAAUGACAAAGUCAUGUUAAUGCUUCCUAAACAUUCCAUAAAUCUGGCUUUCCUUUUUAUUCCUCAUCUCUACAAUUACUGUUCUGGUUCAGUCUCUUAUCCACCUCUCCCCUGGACACUGCACAUCUAUGUAAGUUCUCAUUUGUUUUUCUUUGCUUAUGUUACUUUCUUUGCCUAGAAUAUUUCCUUCUUUUUAAUUAUCUCGUCCUGUGUCUGAUUAUUUCCUUUAAUCUUUUAAGUCUCAAUUCAGGACAUUCCUCUGAGACUUAGUGUCAGUUCUUUUGCAAAAGACUCUCUAUGUCCCUUAGGGAGUUUGGGGGCCCCUUUUCUGUUCAAUAUCAUGGGCAGAGCAUGCUCACUGCACUCACUACACUGCAUUCCACCCUUCUGGGGAAGAGGGGAUCUAUCUUAGUUAUCUCUGUGUUCUCUGAACAUAACAAAGUACUUGCUCCUUCAUAGUUGCUCCAUAAAAUAUUUCUUGAGGGCCUGAAGCUUGCUCUGAAUUUCCAUUCUAUAGUAUCACUAGAGUCAGCUGUUCUUCCACAAAUAUUUCUUAUCUAAGUUGUAUUAUCAUUUAUCUCUACACUGUUUUCUAGCUAUAUCAUCUCUCUACUUUCAUUAUCUUUUUAUAAUUUUCAAGGAGCAUUCAGGGUGAAUUUAUAACUCUGGUUUACCCCUUAUAAUACCCGUGGAUCUGGCUUUUGCCUAUUUCCCUUUCCAGCGUCCUAAUUCUUCACUCUUCCACAUGCAUCUCUGACACAGAUAAAUAGAACUACUUGUGCUUUCUCAUAAGAAACAUGUGUUUCAAGCUUUUAUGACUGCACACACAAUUUCUCUUUUGCCUAAAACACCUUCAUUCCAAUGCCUCCUUCCUUCAUCUAAAUCCUAUCCCUUUCUUGAAUGAUCAACUCUCUUGGGAAAGACUUUCCAGAGCCACUUCCACUCACAUCACCUCCCCAAAUCUUAGCUACUGCUCUCUUGUGUAUUCUUAUUGCACCCUGUGCUUUUUCUAUGAAAUGCCUGUUACACUUCACCAAGUUUGUCAAUUUCCGUUUCUAUUUCCUCUAUGCAAGUAUAAGCUCCUCAAGGGAAGAGACUGUGUCUGCUUGGAUCUGUGUUUUUGGCACUCAGUACGGUAUUUAGCAUAUACUAUAAGCUCAAUUGCAAAGGACAGAAUGGGAACAGAGAAAAAGAGAAGGAGAAGAAGAGAGAGGAAAUGGCAGUAGGCACGUACUAAUUUCCAGAUAUUUGAAAUCAUUCCAAAUAAGUGCAUUUAAAAAAAAAAUAAACAAGAAUCUCAUUAGCUGACUGAUUACUGUUCUCUGUUUCUGCAAUACUUUAUAAAACAAAAAUUAGUUUUAUAAUCAAAAUAUAUUUGAUCCUCACAAAUGAGUAAAAAAGUUUUGAUAUUUCUAUCAUUAAAGCUCCUAGAAGUUCAUGAAGCUAAGAAGUAAGAAAACCAGAAUGUGAAUCCAUCUGAUUUACACAAAUUGGGAUUAUCUGAUAGCAUAAAUAGGACUAGCUAUGUAAUUUGUGGGGACCAGUGAAAAAUGAAAAUGUGAGUUGCUUUGUUCAAAAUUAUUAAGAAUUUUAAGACAGCAACAGCAAAGCAUUAACAAGUUUAGAAACCUCCUAAGUGCAGGGCUCUGUGCAAUGGCGGAGUUCAUACACUAGUGCAGCAGCUGGCUUUGACAUGCCUUUCCAUAGUUCUAAGGUGCUCUUCUGUUGAGUGCUAAGAAUGUCGCUGGCAGCACAUUUGCCAAAAGCAAACAUUUUCUUGUUGGAUUAGGCAACAUCUGCCUUGUUGGACUAAAGAGCAAACAUAUUAACAGUUAAGGACCAAGCACAAUGUGGGAUAAAUGUUUUGAUUAUCUCAUGAAUCAAAUAACCCUGCACAUUCACUAUCCCUUCUGUCUGAGCCACCUUUCUUUCAAAAUCUUAUUCACCCAGGUGAGUCCUAUACCUGUCUUAAAGCAUCAGCUACUCUGGGAAAGACUUCUUCAAGCCCAUUCUUCUGCCUGGUCUAAAUCAUUGCCCUCCUCUAUUUCUCACCCUCUUCUGCUCUAGUGGGUCACUCCUGUUGAUUUUACUCUGUUUAUGUAAGAGUAAAUUGAGGCUAGGAGACAACAUAGCUAGGAAAUACAUACUGUUGGAUAAUUUAGGCUUCCAGCUCCUUUCACUACUAACUCAGCCUUCUUUUAUGCUACUUUAACCUGCUGGAGGUCACUUGUCCACUUAGUGUUCGGCAUUAGGCAUCCUUGCCAUCUUACCUUUUAUGCCCCUAGAAGAAACACCCUGAAGGCUGAUGGAAUGAUCGCUAUUUUCCAGGUAGAAAGUGACACACCAUCAUAUGCAUCUGACCUGGGCUUUGUGAUCUGGUGAAGUUAUAUGACCCAGUGCAUCCGAGUGGGAUGAACAUUUCCAUCGUAACUAUCAAGAUAUGUGUGCAACUGAGACUGACACAUCUAAUAAAGGACUGAUUCGCUGCAUCUGCCAAGGUCUCUUGUGUACCAAGAACACUGGUGGAUGAAGACAAAGGAAAGACGUUACUAAUCCAGCCAAAAAUGUGUGUCCUUAUUUUUCCUUCCUUGGGCUGCUGCUUGAAGACCUAAAAAAGAGUAAAUAAAUGAGAGUAAAUGAGGUCAGAAUUGGAUUUUUAUACCCACUUCUUACUUGAAGCUCUGAGCUUUGCAAUCUACUCCUUACAUGACCUUAUGCGAUAAAUGUUAUCUUAUUUUUACAACUGAAGCAAGUGGAGAUGAAUAAUUUAUUCAAGAUUACACAGAUGGCACAGAACCUGGAUUUGAACCCAGGACAGUUUGAUUAACCACUCUUGAUCACAAUACCAUAUUGCUUCUCUGCACUGCAGUGGGGAACAUAGAGUUGCUAAAAUUUUUAAAACUUAAAA